rnacentral:lncRNA from 1 species
AUGGACCUGCACCACGUCCUCCCCGAAAUAAGUGACCCAGCCUCCUUGCGGAGUGACCUACCCGGAAACCACGCCUUCCUGGGCUCAGCACGGGAACUGGGCCAGUGCAUAAGGGAGAGCCGCGGCACUGUGAGGGCGCAGUCAGCAGCUGGUUCCGGCUUGGAGCGUAGCUCUUCCACAACGGUGAUUUCGGGUCGCUGGCCAGGGGAGGAGUUUGAGAGUGGAAAUGGAUGGCAAAGCCGGGCUUCUCAGAUCCGUGUUCUGCUUGAGCAGAAGUCCUGGGGUUUGAUCAGCUUGAAGAGCCUUAGGCCAACUGUCUGCCUGAGCCAAUUACUAAUGAUGCGAUUGGAAGAGAACGCGCAGUGUGGCACGGAAGCAGCCCUUCUGAAACCGUGGGGACAUCAGCCAACACAGGGAAGAUGGCAUAAAGGGAUUGUGACGUCUUGA